GUUGCAUCCUUCUGGCACCAGGGGUUUGGUGGUAUCUUUUCUAAAUCUGUGAAACACUCAGAGGUUGGCACAAUGUCAUCUAUGUGACAACAUGUUUUGAUCAAAGAGAAAAUCCAAUUGGAAGGCUCCAAUCUUCUGAAAUAUGCAGAAGGUGUGACUAAUGAAUGCAGACCAACAAGGGUCAGGAAAGGAAACCUUUUGCUGAUGUUUUCCUGUUGGAAUAGUGGCUGUACACAUAUCUAUUGAUAUUUUAAUUAUCACCUGUGGACCCACAGCCACACAGUCAGCAUCCUGCUGGCCAUUCAGGCCAGUCCCAUGGCCCCAGCUUUGCCAUGGCCACAAUAUGUAAGUUUAAAUUAAGUCCCUAUCAUUCUAUUAAUCAAUAAGAGUCAGGAGUCAAAGGCUGGGGCAAAACCCUGCUAACUCAGAGAAGUUGAGUAGCAACUAGCUGACCUUGGUUUUUGGCCAGAGACACUGCAAGAGACUUGUUUCUUUCCUCCUCCCAGAACCAAAAGGAAGCUCAAACUCAAGUUCCUGCCUUUCCUUCCUGUGCAUCUUCUUUAUCCAAAUUGCUGGCUUCUCAAUGCCUAAUUCCCAUCAGCUAGUCACUGGCUCUGCCCCCUGAUUCAAGGUUGAUUUUAUUUAAGUAAUACAAACAUAAACUCAGAGUUCACGUGUGACUGAAUAUCCACAACACUUUGCCAGUGGGAAACCCUAAAUGCUCAACACAUUAAAUGUUGUGCCCAAGCAGCAAAGAUCCCCAAAUACCACCAGGGAGACAAAACCACUGAACUGUAAAAGUUUUCAGAACUGUAUCCUGGAGACUACAGGGGAGGUUUUGGUCUUCCCUGGAGUUUCUUUUGUAGCCAAACAGUUCCCAGGAACCAAGCAUCUAGGAGGCUGGGGGUGAGGGUGGGGGGUCUGGAGUCUCUUUGUGUUCAGUUUUGGCCCUAGGCUUCCGGAGGCCAGAGGAUCAGGAGUUUCCUUGUGUCAGAGGCCUAUGUGUCUUUUCUGUAGCCUGUCAUGGCUGCUAAAGCAGGGGGCUGAGUGAAAGUCUGGUCCCUUCAUUGAAGAAUUGGCCAAUCCUUGGAAUCCACCUAUAUUUGUCAUUGAAAAGAAAUUUGGGGGCUGCUGAGAUGACUCCAUGGCUAGGAGCUCUGGAUGCACUUCUAGAGGACCUGAGUUCAAUUCAUAGCACUCACAUGGAAGCUCACAACUAUCUACAGAUCUAGUUGAUUUGGCACCCUCAUACCAAUGCACAUAAAAUAAAAUUAAAUAAAUCAUUAAAAAAACAAAUUUGGAAAAUGGAGAAUGGUAACAGAGUUGAUAGCUAUUACUAAGAUGAUCUAGCCAAUGGGCUCUUUAUAGCCUGGAAUUCCCUUGCCUUCCUUAUUGCCCAAAGGAUGGUCUAUUAUAGUGAUUGAUUAAAAAAAAACUGUUUUUACUACACCUUUACAAGAACAGAUAGAGAAAAAUUUGCCUUCACAGUGUUUACUUACAAUUCCCAGGCUGUUAAAAGGUAUCAGUGGACAAUUAUUCCAUAGGGGAUGCUAACCAGCCCCAUCUUGUGUCCAUUUUUUGUACAAUAGUCAUUGAAAUAAUUUGUAAACAGUUUCCCCAAUCUAUAAUUUACCAUUAUAUGAAUGAUAUCUUACUAGCUGAUUCAGAUGCAGAUAACUCAGAAAAAAAUGUUUGGUGAAGCAAAGAGAAUUUUGCCUUGUUGGAGAUGACAGAUUGUUUUUGAAAAAAUAUAGAGAGGAGAUUCUAUUAACUACCUAGGAUAUAAGGAUAGAUUUACAGAAAAUUCAAUCACAGAAAGUACAAAUCCAGAGAAAUCAAUUACAAACUCUUAAUGAUUUUCAAAAAUUGCUGGGAGAUAUUAACUGGCUAUGGACCACAAUCAGAUUAACCGCUCAAGAAGUAAGUAAUUUAUUUCAAAUCUUACAAGGUGUUAAGGACUUAAGUAGUUCAAGAAAAUUAUCAGCUGGGGCUGAAAGAGAAUUGGUUUUGAUACAAAAUAAAUUACAGAAUGAACAUAGGAUUGCUUGGAUCCAGAGCUUGACUGCAUCCUGGUUAUUUUCCCAUAGGAAUUCUUAUGCAGCAAGAAUCUAAUAUUUUAGAAUGGGUAUUUUUGCCACACAAACAGAGUAAAAAAAUUAAAAACCUAUGUCGAAAAGGUUUCUGAAUUGAUUCUGAAAGGAAAAUUGAGAUUUCAUCAAUUAGCAGGAAUAGACUCAGCAGAAAUUGUGAUACCUUUUACUAAUGGUGAAAUUUCCUCAUUGUGGGCAGAAAAUGAACAUUGGAAAAGAGCUUGAAGUAAUUUUUUGGGAGAGAUAAGCAACAAAUAUCCCCAAAACAAGAGACUUCAGCACACACAAACACACACGCACGCACGCACGCACGCACGCACGCGCACACACACACACUCCACACUUUUUGGAUCCUUCUCACAUGGUAUGAGGAACACCAAUUUCUGGAAACCCUACAUUCUAUACUGAUACAAAUAAAUCAGGAAAGACAGGUUAUCAGUCAGGAAAAAUAAAGUGGCUCAAAGCCCUUAUGAUUUUGUUCAAAAGCCAGAAUUAUAUGCUAUUCUUAUGGUAUAAUUACAUUUUCCACAAUCUCUUAAUGUAGUUAUUGAUUUUCAAUAUGUAGAACGAGUUGUUUUAUAUAUUGAAUGAACCUCCUGAGCUUAUUCCAGGUGAUUCACAAUUAACAUCGUUAUUUAUACAAUUACAACACGUAAUCAGAAAUAGAUUAUCUAUUGAAUAUAACACAUAUCAGAUCCAAUAUAGGUCUACCAGUCUCCUUAUCAUAAGAUAAUGAUAAGCUAUUGGUAGGAAAUAUGCCUCAGAAUUUCAUAAGAAACAACAUGCUAAUAGUAAAAGUAUGAAGAAAGGUUUUCUAUCACUUUGUGACAAGUCAAGGAAAUUGUAAGAAAUUUAUCAUACUUGUUCUUAGUAUACCCAGUCUCCAUUACCUGUAGGAAGUAACCCAAAGGGUACUCAAAGAAAUGAAAUUUGGCAAAUGGGUGUGUUUAAUUUUGUGGAGAUUGGAAAAUUGAAGUAUGUGUACCAUGUCAUAGAUACAUAUUCAGGAUUUCAAUGGGCAAUUGCUUUAAGUUCUGAAAAGGUCAAUUCUGUAAUUACACAUUUAUUAGAAGUCAUGACUAUUAUAGGAAUACCUGUAAAUGACAAUUCUCAUCCCAGCACUGGGGAGGCAGAGGCAGGCGGAUCUCUGUGAGUUCGAGGCCAGCCUGGUCUACAGAGUGAUUUCCAGGACAACCUCCAAAGCUACACAGAGAAACCUGGUCUUGAAAAACCAAAAACCAAACCAAAACAAAACAAAAACCCCCAAAACAAAACAAAAACCAAACCAACCAAACCAACCACACAAACAAACAAACAAACAAACAAACAAACAAAAACAAAAAAACAAUGACAAUUCUCCAGCAUAACUCUAGUAAAAUGAAAGUUUUUGAAUAUUACAACAUAAAGCAUAUUACAGUUAUACCACACAGUUCUACAGGACAAGAAGGUAUAGAAAUAUCUAAUCACACUUUAAAAGAUAUGCUAAUAAACAGAAAGGGAUAAUAAAGACCCCCAGAGAUAGUUACACAGCACUUUAUUUACUUUAAAUAUUUUAAUUUCUAAUGAGAAAGGAACAUUGGGCAGUAGAAAAAAAACUGCUGAAUUAAAUCAGCCUGUAUACUUUAAAGAUGUGUUGACUUCAGAAUGGCAACCAGGAUAUGUGUUACAUUGGGGAAAAGGUUUUGCUUUUGUUUCCACAGGAGAAGAAAAACUAUGGAUACCAUCAAGAUUGGUAAAGUUAGGUUUGAACAGGAGAGACCUCUUUAUCAGGAGAGGUGAUAGUUCAUUAAACAGCAUGGCAUUCAAUUUAAACUAACUUAUAAGACUAACAAAAUGCCUUUCAUUUGACCAGAUGUAACCUGCUUCCCCUCAAAGGAACUCCCCACAGCUAGGGUUAGGGCAGGGCUUUGUUUUUGUAUUUCCAGGAGAAUAAGAGAACCCAACUGAGGAAUCUGAAGACUUUUUGGACAAAUGAGACAGCCAAAGAAGCAUGAAUCAUGAAGAGAAUAUGUCCCAAGAAUAUGUCUACAUCCAACAGGGUAGAAUAUUUGUUUCUGCUGCUCUCUACAAACAUAAAAGGCAAAUGGUAUUUUUUGGUCACAAUUCAAUUAAAAAUUGACUUUGGAGUUGGAACAUGGCUCUCUCCUUCUCGAAAUCUAAGCAUGCUUGUUAAAGGAAAAUCCAAAAUCCUUGUUUCAUGUCAGAAGAGACACCUGGUAUGGAACAGAAGAAAACCAAAAUUAAGGGACUCUUCUAUUGCCACUAAUACCAUAAUUCUUUGGCUUUAGUUUGACUCUUUAAAACUUUCAAGGUACAAAUAUUAUCUCAAAACUUAUAAGAUUAUAAUAUAUCUAUAUAUCAACUUUAUGCUGUGAUAAUAGUGGCCAUAUAGAGUACUACCAUAUCUAGAUAUAAGCUUCAUCUAGUUUCUUAUACAUGAUUUCAGGCUUGAGUCUGAAGCAGGUAACUAGAAACUAAGUUUGUGUACCCCAGAUGUAUCUGUUGCCCAUGGAGGCCAGAAGAUAGAGUUGGAUUCCCAGGAACUGGAGUUAGAGACAAUUGUGAGUGGCUAUGUGGAUGCUGGGAAUUGAACCCAGGUCCCCUGGAACAACAGCCAAUGCUUUUAACUGUAGUGGGAAUAUAUUAGAGUCAUUGUAUCUAGGGUACACAUUAGUAUGAAAUAGUUGUUUCUCACUGAAUCCAGGGUAACUUUAGACUGUAAUAGUUGUUUGUUGGAGGUACUUAGACCUUGAAGAAAUCAUUAUAGUGAAAAGUGAUUGUUUUCUAUGCUUUAUAGAGUUGUUUUUCUGAGGGAGGUUUCCAUUUGUCACAUGGCUUUGGUCACAAGACUACACCUGGCACACCUGCAGUGUCUUGAAUUGUUGGGUUCUGCAAACAGUACACAAUAAGGACUGAAGUUACAGGGGAGUGAUGAUUUCUUUCAGAGAACAUUUAGAAUAAAUCAGAGGGGCCUUGGUAUGAGGAACAUGUUUUACACAAACACAACCUUUGUCUCAUGAUCAAUAAAUACACUUCUGAAUAGUAGCUUGAGGUUCAGCCCAUCAGAGGCUGGACUUCUCUGCUGCCUCAGAGCCUGGAUUACAUUCUGGAGUGACCUUCCUUCUUUGUCCCAUGCAACAUAAAACACACCCUUAACCUCUGAGUCAUCUCUCUAGCCCUGCCCCCUGUGAAUUUUUGAGUGCCACCUUAUACACUUCAUGAGCUCCCUUCCCCCACAUAAGGGAAGAUUAGUGGGCCCGAUCUUACAGGGGUUUUGUGUGGGUCUUGUAAUCAUGAUGGCUCUGACAUUGAUGGUAGCAACUGUACUGUACCUGGAGAACAGUGUUCCACCUGUUUAAAAUUUUAGUGCCUAAUGCUUAUUCUCUUAAAUGAUUGCUCUAUACUACAUGAAAAUAUACUUUAACAUAUUUAUUUCCAGGUAUUUCUCAUCCCACUAGAAUAGUUGCUCUGCAGCUUAAAGAAGAUUUAGGUUUAUGUGUGACUGUUAAGAUUCGGUGCAUGAAUGUUUUGUUCACAUGUGUAUAUGUAUGUGCACCACAUUCAUGCUUUGUGCCCAUAGGAUUCGGAAGAGGACAUUGGAUUCCUUGGAACAGUUGUGAGUGGGUGCUGGGAACUGAAUGCAGGUCCUCUGCAAAAGCAACAAGUACUCUUUACCACUGAGCCAUCUCUCCAGCCUCAAGAAAAGGUAUCUCUUAACAGCACAUCACAAAACUGUAUGCCAGGAGUUAUAGAUACUCUUAGUAGAAUAAAAUAUAUUAUCUUUUCAUAGAUUUCAAGAAUCAAAACUAUUUGUAUUCAUAGAUUAAAAAAUUUAUAAGAUUUAUUUUUAAUUUGUGUUUGGGUGUUUUGCUUACAGCAGGUGUUUUUUGGCAGGUGUAUGAAGUGUUCAUCGAGGCCAGAUCUUCUGUUCUUAUGAAGCCAGAAAUUUACAUGAGCUUUGGUGGGGCUGUGGGGCAGCAUUCGCAGGUCUUAUUCUUGGUUCGAGUGUUGGGUUCUUCCUGAAUUCCUGAGAUCCUGACCACUUUGUGAUGAAUGAAACAGCAUAGGUAGUAGUGCUGCUUUUUUAGAGCCUGGGAAAGCACAUAAGUAUUAAAGACACUUGCUUUAGAAAUGUCUCUGAUUGCAGCAGCCACUGCUGGGUUCCACAAGAGGGUGUUCUUAAUGGCCUUGCCCUUGGGCAUGCACUGGGCACAGCUCCUGCAGUGAAUCAACUACACAUCACCAUGACUGUUUUUGGCACAACUGUUAAUUACUCUUUUUUGGUAAUUUUGGAGCCAGGACUCAAAGCAUAAUUUGUUUCAAAAAUAUUUUAUUUUACUUUAUUUGUAUAAAUAUUUUACUUGUAAAAAUAUUUGUAUAAAUGUAUGUGCACCAUGUUGAAUCUCCUGGAACAGGGGUUACAGAUGGCUAUGAAUAAAGAGUAGCAACUGCUUUUAACUGCUGUAGCAUCUCUCUAGCCCAGAAACUUACUUUUAAUAGUUAUUUUGAAAAUAUUCAUGGAGUCUAAGAGGCCACACAUUUACAGUCACUCCUUUGUCAUUUUAAAGCACCCUAUUGGACACUGACAUGACUUCAUUUUGCCCCCUCUGGCUUUAUUUAUUUUUCUCUUUAAGUUUAUUUUCCCGAGCCACUCCUGAAGU
ensembl:lncRNA